UACGUAGGGUGCGAGCGUUAAUCGGAAUUACUGGGCGUAAAGCGUGCGCAGGCGGUCUGUUAAGACCGAUGUGAAAUCCCCGGGCUUAACCUGGGAACUGCGUUUGAAACUACAAGGCUAGAGUGUGGCAGAGGGGGGUGGAAUUCCACGUGUAGCAGUGAAAUGCGUAGAGAUGUGGAGGAAUACCGAUGGCGAAGGCAACUGCCUGGGCCUGAACUGACACGUGUGACACGAAAGCGUGGGUAGCAAACAGG
rnacentral:rRNA from 1 species